rnacentral:rRNA from 1 species
AACGUAGGUGGCGAGCGUUAUCCGGAUUCAUUGGGCGUAAAGCGCUUGUAGGUGGCCUUGUAAGUUGGACGUGAAAUCUCCCGGCUUAACCGGGAGAGGUCGUUCAAUACUGCAGGGCUGGAGGAUGUCAGAGGGCAGCGGAAUUCCUGGUGUAGCAGUGAAAUGCGUAGAUAUCAGGAGGAACACCCGUGGCGAAGGCGGUUGCCUGGGGCAUCACUGACACUGAGAAGCGAAAGCUAGGGGAGCGAACGGG